CCUACGGGUGGCUGCAGUGGGGAAUAUUGCACAAUGGGGGAAACCCUGAUGCAGCAACGCCGCGUGGGUGAAGGAGCGUUUCGGCGCGUAAAGCUCUAUCAGCAGGGAAGAAAGAAAUGACGGUACCUGAGUAAGAAGCCCCGGCUAACUACGUGCCAGCAGCCGCGGUAAUACGUAGGGGGCAAGCGUUAUCCGGAAUUACUGGGUGUAAAGGGAGCGUAGACGGUAAUGCAAGUCUGGAGUGAAAGGCGGGGGCCCAACCCCCGGACUGCUCUGGAAACUGUGUAACUGGAGUGCAGGAGAGGCAGGCGGAAUUCCUAGUGUAGCGGUGAAAUGCGUAGAUAUUAGGAGGAACACCAGUGGCGAAGGCGGCCUGCUGGACUGUAACUGACGUUGAGGCUCGAAAGCGUGGGGAGCAAACAGGAUUAGAUACCCGGGUAGUC
rnacentral:rRNA from 1 species